AGCAACGCGAAGAACCUUACCAGUUCUUGACAUCCCGCUGACCGGUUUGGAGACAAAUCUUUCCCUUGGGGGACAGGGGUGACAGGUGGUGCAUGGUUGUCGUCAGCUCGUGUCGUGAGAUGUUGGGUUAAGUCCCGCAAGGAGGGCAACCCUUGAUUUUAGUUGCCAGCAUUUAGUUGGGCACUUUAAGGUGGCUGCCGGUGCCAAACCGGAGGAAGGGGGGGAUGACGUCAAAUCAUCAUGCCCCUUAUGACCUGGGUUACCCCCGUGCUCCAAUGGAUGGUACAAAGGGGUGCAAGACCCCAAGGUUUAGCCAAUCCCUUAAAACCAUUUUCAGUUCGGAUUGCAGGUUGCAGUUAGCCUGCAUGAAGCCGGAAUCGUUAGUAAUUGCGGUUCAGCAUGCCGCGGUGAAUACGUUCCCGGGCCUUGUUCACACGGCCCGUCACACCACGAGAGUUUGCAACACCCGAUU
rnacentral:rRNA from 1 species